rnacentral:rRNA from 1 species
CCGUUCAAUACUGCGGAGCUCGAGGGCAGAAGAGGGGGGUGGAAUUGCUGGUGUAGUGGUGAAAUGCGUAGAUAUCAGCAGGAACACCUGUGGCGAAAGCGGCCCCCUGGUCUGCUCCUGACACUCAGACGCGAAAGCUAGGGGAGUGAACGGGAUUAGAAACCCCGGUAAUCCUAGCCGUAAACGAUGGAUGCUAGGUGUGGGUGGUAUUGACCCCAUCCGUGCCGAAACCAACGCGUUAAGCAUCCCGCCUGGGGACUACUGCCGCAAGGUUAAAACUCAAAGGAAUUGACGGGGACCCGCACAAGCAGCGGAGCGUGUGGUUUAAUUCGAUGCUACACGAAGAACCUUACCCAGGUUUGACAUGCAGGUAGUAGUGAAGCGAAAGCGGAACGAUCCUUCGGGAAGCCUGCACAGGUGCUGCAUGGCUGUCGUCAGCUCGUGCCGUGAGGUGUUUGGUUAAGUACACUAACGAGCGCAACCCCUGUCGUCAGUUACAUGUGUCUGGCGAGACUGCCGGUCUUAAACCGGAGGAAGGUGGGGAUGACGUCAAGUCAGCAUGGCCUUUAUAUCUGGG